ACAUUUCCCUUACACUGAAACAGUACCCGGGCAGAUCGGGUCGCCCU
rnacentral:tRNA from 1 species